rnacentral:rRNA from 1 species
UCNCGGUACUCCGAAUGCAUCUAGAUUNUAGUUUGAUCAUGGCUCAGAUUGAACGCUGGCUGGCAGGCCUAACACAUGCAAGUCGAGCGGGUGACGGGAGCUUGCUCCUUGAUUCAGCGGCGGACGGGUGAGUAAUGCCUAGGAAUCUGCCUGGUAGUGGGGGGCAACGUUUCGAAAGGAACGCUAAUACCGCAUACGUCCUACGGGAGAAAGCAGGGGGACCUUCGGGCCUUGCGCUAUCAGAUGAGCCUAGGUCGGAUUAGCUAGUUGGUGGGGUAAUGGCUCACCAAGGCGACGAUCCGUAACUGGUCUGAGAGGAUGAUCAGUCACACUGGAACUGAGACACGGUCCAGACUCCUACGGGAGGCAGCAGUGGGGAAUAUUUGGACAAUGGGCGAAAGCCUGAUCCAGCCAUGCCGCGUGUGUGAAGAAGGUCUUCGGAUUGUAAAGCACUUUAAGUUGGGAGGAAGGGCAGUAAGUUAAUACCUUGCUGUUUUGACGUUACCGACAGAAUAAGCACCGGCUAACUCUGUGCCAGCAGCCGCGGUAAUACAGAGGGUGCAAAGCGUUAAUCGGAAAUUACUGGGCGUUAAAGCGCGCGUAGUGGGUUUGGNUAACGUUGGAUUGUGAAAGCCCCGGGGGCUCAACCUGGGGAAAACUGNAUUCCAAAACUGGAAGGCUAAAGUACNCG